UACAGAGGUGGCGAGCGUUGUUCGGAAUUACUGGGCGUAAAGGGCGCGUAGGCGGUUCGAUAAGUCCCGUGUGAAAGCCCCCGGCUCAACUGGGGAACUGCACGGGAAACUGACGGACUUGAGUUCGGGAGAGGGAAGCGGAAUUCCGGGUGUAGCGGUGAAAUGCGUAGAUAUCCGGAGGAACACCGGUGGCGAAGGCGGCUUCCUGGACCGACACUGACGCUGAUGCGCGAAAGCUAGGGGAGCAAACGGG
rnacentral:rRNA from 1 species